rnacentral:lncRNA from 1 species
GCUUCCGGCGCCGUAACUGCUGCCAUCUUCUCCGCGCUAUGGCUGCGUUCGGCCGUCAGGACUAAUUUAUUAUUGUGCAACUGCCAGUCCUGCGCAUUCCAGCUACGCUAAGCGCCCUGCCCAGGCACGUAACAAAACAUAGACCUGUUUUGAAGUGGCUUGUUACCCAAGGGUGCCUCACUCAUCUGCGCCACCAGGAAGAUGAACUGUGAGGGCUCCUAUAAGGGGCAGGAAGAGCAAAGCUGUCCUAGGCCAACCAGAGAUUCAUCUUUCAUGCAGUGACAUGUUGAUAAAAAAUGAUGGUCAGUAUGAAACUGGUAACAGGUUGUAGAUGGCUUUCUAUGGUAUAUCCCAGUCUCUUGCAAACGAUUGUGAAGAAUGCCAGUGUUGUUUAAGAUUCGGCAGUUUGUGUGGGGAGGUGGGGGCAGGAUGGGGUUUGGUUGCCAAAAGAGUUUGGGAAAUGCUGGCUUAAACAAAGGCGAGAGGAAGUUCCUUUCACGUCAGGAUUUAUGAAUGCCUAUGAGCCCAGUGUCAGUGACGACUUUCUAGCGGCGGUCUUCAACACUUUCUAAAUAUUAAGCGAUC